CGCAGCCGCGGUAAUUCCAGCUCCAAUAGCGUAUAUUAAAGUUGCUGCAGUUAAAAAGCUCGUAGUUGAAUUUCGGGACCAUCAUGUCGGUCGUGCCUCGGUACGUACUGGCAUUAUUGGUUUCUACCUUCUGACGAACCAUGAUGUCAUUUAUUUGGUGUCGUGGGGAAUCAGGACUGUUACUUUGAAAAAAUUAGAGUGUUUAAAGCAGGCAUUAGCUUGAAUACAUUAGCACGGAAUAAUGAAAUAGGACGUUCGAACCUAUUUUGUUGGUUUCUAGGAUCAACGUAAUGAUUAAUAGGGAUAGUUGGGGACAUUAGUAUUCAAUUGUCAGAGGUGAAAUUCUUGGAUUUAUUGAAGACUAACUACUGCGAAAGCAUUUGCCAAGGAUGUUUUCAUUAAUCAAGAACGAAAGUUAGGGGAUCGAAGACGAUCAGAUACCGUCGUAGUCUUAACCAUAAACUAUGCCGACUAGGGAUCGGAUGAUGUUAAUUUUUAAUGACUCAUUCGGCGCCUUACG
rnacentral:rRNA from 1 species